rnacentral:rRNA from 1 species
GAUGAACGCUAGCGGCAGGCCUAACACAUGCAAGUCGAGGGGUAUAAAAGAGCUUGCUUUUUUAGAGACCGGCAAACGGGUGCGGAACACGUACGCAAUCUGCCCUUAUCACGGGGAUAGCCCAGAGAAUUUGGAUUAAUACCCGAUAGUAUUAUAAUAAGGCAUCUUGUUGUAAUUAAAGCUAUGGCGGAUAAGGAUGAGCGUGCGCAAGAUUAGCUAGUUGGUGAGGUAACGGCUCACCAAGGCGACGAUCUUUAGCUGAUGUGAGAGCAUGAUCAGCCACACGGGCACUGAGACACGGGCCCGACUCCUACGGGAGGCAGCAGUGAGGAAUAUUGGUCAAUGGACGAAGUCUGAACCAGCCAUGCCGCGUGAAGGAUGAAGGCGUUCUGCGUUGUAAACUUCUUUUAAUUU